rnacentral:tRNA from 1 species
GGCCCGUUAGUCAAGUGGUCAAGACAUCGCCCUUUCACGGCGGAGGCAGGAGUUCGACUCUCCUACGGGUCACCA